GACGAUAAAAGCGACGAUAAAAGCGACGAUCAAAGAGACGAUAAAAGAGACGAUAAAAGUAAGAAAGAUCUAGAUGACACAAAGUGGAUUAGCUAUAAUAACAGUAAACGCGAUUCUUGUAGUUAUGGUGGAGAAUGUAGUAAAGAUGGCGAAGAGAAAGGGAACGAUAAUGACGAUUGGUAUGACCUGUUUAUCGAACGGAGUGAUUACGAAUCCAGUGAUUUGAGUGAACAGGAUGAAGUGUUUAAUUUUCUUUCUUAUCACAUGCAAGGGAGAAAUCCAUCUUUUGAAAAUCGAAAAAUAAAAAUAAAAAGUGAUAAGUUAAAUUAUACUAGUAUAUAUGGUCCAGUUUUGUAUAAAAAAAUAAAUAAGGGGGGUGGAUCAGAAACUGCAGAAAAGAGAAACAUACAAGAGAUGGAGCAAUGGGAUGAGGAAGGGAAAGGGGAAGGAAAUGUGGAAGGAAAUGAGGAAGGAAAUGAGCAAUGGAACGAGCAACGGAAUGAGCAACGGAAUGAGCAAGAAAACGAAGAAGGAAGGAAAGAAAAAAGAGAAAAAAGAAGAGAAGAACAAAACGAUAUAAAGGAAAUACAAAAAGUAAAAUAUUCCUUUUUAUUAUUAGAUUAUCCAUCAUAUUAUAAUAGUAUAGGACAUCCAUCGCCGUUAACAUUUAAAGCAAGUGCUUUUGCUGCUUUAAAAGAAGCAUUAAAGGAAAUAAGAAAAGAAAAAAAUUGUGCCAACAGUUGUAUAUCAAUAAACAUAAUGGGUUAUUCUUUAGGUUGUUGUAUAGGCUUACAAUUAUUAUUAGAUAUAGCGAAAAGUUUAUACAAUGACUUUUUCGAAUGUAUGUAUAGAACACCAUUUCAUAAUAUACAAAAAGAAUAUAUAAACGAAGUAAAGAAGGAAAGUGAUUUGUAUAUAAAAUUACACAAUGGUUUUACUGAGAAGGGGGUAGGAAUGAACAUAGAAAGAGACAAUUACAUAACCAGAAAUAAUAAUUAUUACAUCGACAAUAACAAUAAUACUUGUAAAACUACAAGAUGUAAUAAUAACACGCCAACCGAGUAUGUUUAUGAUGAAAGAAAAAAUCUUACUUUUUCAAACAGUUUUUCAAACAAUUUUUCAAACAGUUUUUCAAACAAUUUUUCAAACAAUUUUUCAAACAAUUUUUUAGAAACAGAAUAUUGUUAUAAUAAUCAAUAUAACGUGGAGAAAUUUGAAAAUGUAAAAAACAAACUGAAACUUUUAAAAAAAACAAACAAAUAUUUAUUUAGUCAGGAGGAAGUAAAUUAUGGAAAGGUAUCAAUAUGUGAUGAACAAAAUGGGAGUAAAAGUAGUAAUGCUACGUUGUAUGAGGAUACGGAAAUAAAUGAGAGUAUAAGUGUGAACAUAGAUAUUGUAACGAAUUCAAGUAAAGAUAAAGGGAUAGGAAAGAUGGCUACUAUUACUCCCAUUGGUAUUGCUAAGGAUAACAACACCAAACGAGCCAAACCAAACAAAACGUUAAAUAAACUAAAAAUGUUUAAAAAUGAGAAAAUAAAACAGUUAGUAAAAAAUUUAAAUAUAAGUGUAAAUAAAGUUUUAUUAAUUGCUCCAUUUACGAAUACACAAAAAUUGGUUAAAAGUAUAUUAAAUAACAGUAUGUUUUUUUUAUUAAGUUUUUUUAUUAUGAAUAAAACAUGUUCUUAUGUUCAUUGGGAUAAUACAGCUGUUUUAAAAGAAUUGUUUUCAAUUAUAAACAGUUUUAAAAAAAACAAUUAUUUAUAUAAUGUGUUUAUUAAUUUAGAAUUUAAUUUUAUCCAUGGUCAAAAAGAUUCUCUAGUUAAUUAUAAUAUGAGUUUAAGUUUAUAUAAAACUACAAACAAUCUUAUUAUAAAAUAUGCAUUAAUGAAUAUAAGAGCUUUUCUUUAUGUAUUUAAAAACCACUGUCAUUCAUCCAUAUUAAAUUCAGAAACGGAAAACUCUAUUUUACAAAUUAUAUUUAAACCACUUAGGUUACAUCCAUUUAGUACUACGGCCAUACAUAAAUUUCAUUUCGAUUUAUACAGAGAUAUUUAUUUAUUAAAAAAUAUUUAUUUACGAUAUAUUUCGAAUAUAACUUCUAAAAUUAUAUCCAUGUAAUAAAUUGUAUUAACAGUAACAGAC
ensembl:lncRNA